CACAUAUGCUAGGCAAGUGCUCUCCCACCACUAAACCACAACCCUAGCCCCACAUCUCUUUUUUAAUUUACUAAAAAUGUAUAUAUUUAUAGUGUACAAUAUUAUGUUUUGAUAUAUGUAUACAUUGUGGAAUAUCUAAAUUCAGCUAAUUAACAUAUUUAUUCCAUCUCAUUAGCUUGUCAUGAAUUAACAAAGUCCCUAUACUCAUAUAUUUAGGUAAUAUCUAUUUUUUCCUAUCAUAAACUACCCUGCAAAGAACAUCCAUGUAGGAAAUUUCUAGUUUUAAUUGGUACAUUUCACUUAUGCAUUUUUAUUUGUGACACCUAAGUAGAGUUUUUGUCCUCUUUUGCCUGGGGUGCAUUCUAGGAUAUUGAAAACAGACCUUGAAAAUCUGUGGGUUGUGUGGGUAUUUGUAUAUGCUGCUGCUGGAUCAUGUCUCUCAGUUUAUUCAUUUCUAUUUACUCUGAAUGCAUAAUCUCUGUGGUGUUUUCUUCUCUAAAAUCAACCCCUAGAUGAAACUAUAGCAGAGAGUUACUAUCCUUAUAGUUAAAUUGAUUUUCACAUUCUUAGCUAAUUCCUUAGGGAAAACUAAAAGUAGAAUGGGUGUUUAUAUUGUCAAAUAAUCUGUAUUAAGUAACUCUCAGUUGUAAAAAUAAAAAUUACCUCUUCUGUCACUUUCUUUACAGUGACACAACAACUAACACUUAUCCAGUUAUCAAUUCAAGUACCUGAACAUUGAAAUAGAAUACUUAAUGGAGUCUUCAGAGUCUUGAGAAAAAAUAGUUGUCAAGACAUAUCAAGUAGUAUAGCUUUAAAAAGUCAGAAAGUGUAGUUUUAGCUGUAAUAUAGAAAGAG
rnacentral:lncRNA from 1 species